AAGAAACUUUCCUGGCCCUUACAUUUCUGGAAACCUGGAGAGAAAGGGGGAGUCCUUCGGGGAUCAGAAAACAGGUGCUGCAUGGCUGUCGUCAGCCCGUGUCGUGAGAUGUUGGGUUAAAUCCCGCAACGAGCGCAACCCCCUGUCCUUUUUUUGCCAGCACGUAAUGGUGGGAACUCAAAGGAGACUGCCGGUGAUAAACCGGAGGAAGGUGGGGAUGACGUCAAGUCAUCAAGCCCUUACGGCCAGGGCCACACACGUGCUACAAUGGCGCGUACAGAGGGCGGCAAGCUAGCGAGAGUGAGCGAAUCCCAAAAAGCGCGUCGUAGUCCGGAUUGGAGUCUGCAACUCGCUCCAUGAAGUCGGAAUCGCUAGUAAUCG
rnacentral:rRNA from 1 species